UAAAACUCCUAGCCUUUGCAUCUAAGUUCAGCCACUGAAUAUGAUGUUCAGGCCGUGACCUCAGAGUCGCCAGGGUGCAAGAUAGAAAUGUCUGCAUCUCCCGUAUUUGGAAAGGUGUGAAUA
rnacentral:ncRNA from 1 species